rnacentral:rRNA from 1 species
AUGCAAGUCGAGCGGUAGCACAGAGAGCUUGCUCUCGGGUGACGAGCGGCGGACGGGUGAGUAAUGUCUGGGAAACUGCCUGAUGGAGGGGGAUAACUACUGGAAACGGUAGCUAAUACCGCAUAACGUCGCAAGACCAAAGUGGGGGACCUUCGGGCCUCAUGCCAUCAGAUGUGCCCAGAUGGGAUUAGCUGGUAGGUGGGGUAACGGCUCACCUAGGCGACGAUCCCUAGCUGGUCUGAGAGGAUGACCAGCCACACUGGAACUGAGACACGGUCCAGACUCCUACGGGAGGCAGCAGUGGGGAAUAUUGCACAAUGGGCGCAAGCCUGAUGCAGCCAUGCCGCGUGUGUGAAGAAGGCCUUCGGGUUGUAAAGCACUUUCAGCGGGGAGGAAGGCGGUGAGGUUAAUAACCUUAUCGAUUGACGUUACCCGCAGAAGAAGCACCGGCUAACUCCGUGCCAGCAGCCGCGGUAAUACGGAGGGUGCAAGCGUUAAUCGGAAUUACUGGGCGUAAAGCGCACGCAGGCGGUCUGUCAAGUCGGAUGUGAAAUCCCCGGGCUCAACCUGGGAACUGCAUUCGAAACUGGCAGGCUAGAGUCUUGUAGAGGGGGGUAGAAUUCCAGGUGUAGCGGUGAAAUGCGUAGAGAUCUGGAGGAAUACCGGUGGCGAAGGCGGCCCCCUGGACAAAGACUGACGCUCAGGUGCGAAAGCGUGGGGAGCAAACAGGAUUAGAUACCCUGGUAGUCCACGCUGUAAACGAUGUCGAUUUGGAGGUUGUGCCCUUGAGGCGUGGCUUCCGGAGCUAACGCGUUAAAUCGACCGCCUGGGGAGUACGGCCGCAAGGUUAAAACUCAAAUGAAUUGACGGGGGCCCGCACAAGCGGUGGAGCAUGUGGUUUAAUUCGAUGCAACGCGAAGAACCUUACCUGGUCUUGACAUCCACAGAACUUUCCAGAGAUGGAUUGGUGCCUUCGGGAACUGUGAGACAGGUGCUGCAUGGCUGUCGUCAGCUCGUGUUGUGAAAUGUUGGGUUAAGUCCCGCAACGAGCGCAACCCUUAUCCUUUGUUGCCAGCGGUUAGGCCGGGAACUCAAAGGAGACUGCCAGUGAUAAACUGGAGGAAGGUGGGGAUGACGUCAAGUCAUCAUGGCCCUUACGACCAGGGCUACACACGUGCUACAAUGGCAUAUACAAAGAGAAGCGACCUCGCGAGAGCAAGCGGACCUCAUAAAGUAUGUCGUAGUCCGGAUUGGAGUCUGCAACUCGACUCCAUGAAGUCGGAAUCGCUAGUAAUCGUAGAUCAGAAUGCUACGGUGAAUACGUUCCCGGGCCUUGUACACACCGCCCGUCACACCAUGGGAGUGGGUUGCAAAAGAAGUAGGUAGCUUAACCUUCGGGAGGGCGCUACCACUU